rnacentral:rRNA from 1 species
GGUGAGUAACACGUAGGUAACCUACCCUUAGGCGGGGGACAACUCAGGGAAACUUGAGCUAAUACCCCAUAAGACCACAUACUGGGAUGUAAGAGGUAAAAGUGGCGACACACCAAAGGAUGGGCCUGCGGCCUAUCAGGUAGUUGGUGAGGUAACGGCUCACCAAGCCGGAGACGGGUAGCCGGGCUGAGAGGUUGAACGGCCACACUGGAACUGAGAUACGGUCCAGACUCCUACGGGAGGCAGCAGUGGGGAAUAUUGCACAAUGGGCGAAAGCCUGAUGCAGCGACGCCGCGUGGAGGAUGAAGGCCUUCGGGUUGUAAACUCCUUUUCUUGGGAAAGAUGAUGACGGUACCUAAGGAAUAAGCCACGGCUAACUCUGUGCUAGCAGCCGCGGUAAGACAGAGGUGGCGAGCGUUGUUCGGAAUUACUGGGCUUAAAGGGCGAGUAGGCGGUGGAGCAAGUCUGAGGUGGAAUCUUAGGGCUUAACCCUAAAACUGCCUUAGAAACUGCUUUACUUGAGUCAGUGAGGGGAGGGCGGAAUUCCUGGUGUAGCGGUGAAAUGCGCAGAUAUCAGGAAGAACACCCGUGGCGAAGGCGGCUCUCUGGGACGGUACUGACGCUGAGACGCGAAAGCGUGGGGAGCGAACAGGAUUAGAUACCCUGGUAGUCCACGCCGUA